GUCACGAUAGCUCAAGUGGUAGAGCAGCGGCGUUUUUAGCCGAAGGUCGUGGGUUCGAAUCCAGCUCGUGACA
rnacentral:tRNA from 1 species